rnacentral:lncRNA from 10 species
UGGUCAUAUUAAACAAAGAAUGAAUAAAUAAAUCCAAGAGCAUAGGAGGAGGAGCAUCCAAAUGAGCCUGAAAAAUUAGAGAAAUAUUUGUAGUAGUAUGUGAUAUCUUAGCUGAGCUUAACAAGUAUAAUGAGAUCAAGAGUUUGGAUUGAAAAUGAGGUACUCAGGAAUAAACGAUUUCUGAGGUCUCUAAGAUAUUAUAAAACUUUAUUGAAAGAUCUAAGAAAAUUUAAUGAAACACAUUGUCCUUAUUAAUCUAUAAAUAUAGUUUUAAUUAAAAUUCCAAUAGGGGGCCAGGUACGGUGGGUAUGCCAGUAUUUCCAGCACAUUGGGAGGCCAAGGUGGGAGGAUUGCUUGAGCCUGGGAGUUCUGACCAACAUGGUGAAACCCUAUUGCUAAAAAAAGACAAAAAAAUUAGCCAGGCGUAGAGGUGUGUGACUGUAGUCCCAGCUACUCAAGAGGCUCAGUUGGGAGAAUCGCUUGAGCCCAGAAGUCGAGGCUGCAGUGAACUGUGAUCUCACCACUGUACUCCAGCCUGGGCAACAGAAUUAGAACCUGUCUCAAAAAACAAAUAAAAUAAAAUUCCAAUAGGGUAUAGUAUAACACUUGAUAAGUCGAUAUUAAGAUUUAUAUGGAAGAAUAAGUGACUAAGAAAAACCAAUAGAAUUUUAAAGAAAAAUAAAGCAGAAAUUGCCCUACUUCCUAUAAAACUGUAACAGUUAUACCACAUGGCUUCAGGUGCAGGAACAGGCAGAUUAAUGAAGCAGAGUCUAGAAACGAGCCACAUAUGUGUUUAUGGAAACUGUAAAUAUCUGAUGUAGUGUUUCAGAUCAGUAGGGAAAGAGUAGAAUAUUUAAUAAAUUGUGUUUACACAGUUUAACUUUAAAAAAAUUAGAUCCAUCUUACAUUAGACACAAAAUUUAUUUCUAGGUGAAUUAUAUCCCAAAUAUGAAAAGCAAAUCUUCAAAAUUCUUUUAGGAUAAAAAUGAGAGAAUGUUCCUAACACCAAACAAAGUACAAAGUAUAAACUGCAAAGGAAAAUACUGAUAAACUUGACCAAAAUUUAAAACUUGUGUAUCGCAAAAGAAACAAUAAAGUUAAAAACAUUAGAAAAUUUGUAACUCAUAUAACUGAGAACUUUACAAAAUAUAAGAACAGAUAAAUUGAAAAAUAGGUAGUUCUCAAAAUAGGAAAUGCAUAUAGCCAGUAAACACAUGAAAAGAUUCUCAUUCAUUAAUAAUCAAGAACUUGCAAGUGAAAUCAGUGUUACCAUUUUCUACGCAUCAGAUUUGUAAAAUUAAAAAGCCUUAUGAUUUGCAAAAAGUGCAAGGUGAAAAGAAAAAUCUUAUGAAAUACCAAAUGUUGGUGAGGAUGAAGUAAAAGGAACUCUCACACAUUGUUUGUAGUAGUACCAUUUGGUACAACUACCCCGGAGAGCAAUUCUCAACUAGAAGAGAUGAAGUAAAGAUGAAAUUGCAUAACUUAAAACCCAUAAAGAGAUAUCUUGCAUGUGUGCUUGAAACAUUAUAUGUAAUAGCAGAAAAUUGGAAACAGCCUAAAUUCCUGUCAGUAGCAGAAUGAAUAAACAGCACGUAAAUAGUUACAUAAUAUUGUGGUGUACUACAUAACAGUUAAAUAAAUGAACCAGAUCUAUAUGUAUCAAUGUGAAUUAUUAAAAUAAUGUUGUACCCAGACAUCAUGGCUCAUGCCUAUAAUCCCAGCACUUUGGGAGGCAGAGGCCUUCGGAUCAUAUGAGGCCAGGAGUUCAAGACCAGCCUGGUCCACAUGGUAAAACCCCAUCUCUACGUAAAAUACAAACAUUAGCCAGGUGUGGUAGUGCACGUCUAUAAUCCCAGCUACUUGGGGGUUGAGGCAUGAGAAUCACUUGAACCCAGGAGGUGGAGGUUGCAGUGAGCUGAGAUCACACCUCUGUACUCCAGUCUAGGCAACAGACUGAGACUCUGCCUCAGAAAAGAAAAAAGAAAAAAAAAAUGGGCUGGGCCUAGUGGCUCAGACCUGUAA